AUGUACCAGGCGAUCCCCUACAGUGCCGGCCAGCUGUCGGCGUGCCUGCAGCAGUCCGAGCAGGCCGAGGCCGAGGGCGCGGCCGGCCAGGAGGGCGGGCUCGCGGCUCGCCGACACGGCGGCGAGGACGGCGGGGAGGUGGUGAGGAGGGCGGUGGCAGAGAGCCUGGUGCUGGUGGUGGGGAGGUGCGGGUGCUACCUUAGCCACGUGGUGAAGCGGCUGUUGCAGGGGCUCGGGGUGAACCCCGCCGUGCACGAGGUCACCGACGAGGCCGAGCUCACUGCAGCGGCCGUCGUCGCGCUGCUGGCGGCGUUCGUCGGUGGGAGGAACCUCGGCGGGCUCGAUCGGCUCAUGGCCGUGCACAUCUCCGGCGAGCUCGUGCCCAUACUCAAGGACGCCGGCACGCUCUAG
rnacentral:rRNA from 1 species